GACGGAGGAUGCAAGCGUUAUCCGGAAUGAUUUUGGGCGUAAGCGUCCGCAGGUGGCUGUGUAAGUCUGCUGUUAAAAGAGUCUAGCUCAACUAGAUAAAAAGCAGUGGAAACUACACGGCUAGAGUACGUUCGGGGCAGAGGGAAUUCCUGGUGUAGCGGUGAAAUGCGUAGAGAUCAGGAAGAACACCCGGUGGCCGAAG
rnacentral:rRNA from 1 species